UGGAUCAAGAACUUGAACAUUUGAAGCAUGAAAUGGGGUUUCAACUAUAAAGAUCCCAAAUUCUUGACCUUCACCUGCCUUGAUUUGUUUUUUAACCUCAUGAUCCAUUCUUGACAAUGUUCAGUUAUCCAAACUUUCGAAGAAGCUCGCUUCUCUAGCUCUGUCACCACUCUAGAAUUUACAGAUAAAAAUCCUUACUUUUUCUCAAUAUCUUCUGAACUACCAAAAGUUCUCUUACUACAAAUGACAAUAGGCACCACAUCCAGAAUAUGUAGAUUCUCAAAGCAAGACAAGAGAAAAGGAAGCAUCUUUUCUAAGGGUGGGGUUGGUAGAGAAGAUGAGCUGGACUACACAAAUGAAAGAAUGGAAGAAAAAGCAGCAAAAUCAUACCAAAUCCAAGAACUAUUAACAUUAUGCACGAUUCAAAUCCAAUGCUUAUUCAGAGAAUUACAUUGAGAUGAAUACUUCACAGAACUCGGUCUUCUAAAUCAAAAUAAAAAUAUAUAACAGAGCUUCAAUCCAAACAAAAUUGGCUUUGAAAUUUCCAAACUAGUGUUUAAACCCUUAAUUCCACUUCACAAAUUUUAUAAAUCCCAUUGUAACCUAACUUUCAAGUGUCAGCCCCCAACAAUGGUUUCAUCCAACAGAGACAGAUUGAAGUUCAAACUCAACACAGUAAUGUUGUUAACAACUUUCCUAACCAUGCACAAGUGAUCUAAAAGCAGAAAGCAACAGCCUAAAUAUGUAGCCACACAAAUGUUUAUAUGUUGUGUGUGAAACUGACACAUGAAUUAUAGAAGGCCUCUUAAUUUCCCUAGUAAUUGAAUGCAUAUCUCCCUGAUAUAAGACAGCCAGAAUCCAACAAGUGUAUUGAUGAUAAAAAUUCCACGCACAAUUUUGACACAAAUGAUAUCAUGAGCAUUUGAGCUAACAAUUUCAAUAAAGGGAAAAUCCAGCAUGCAACACCACAAAUCUCAUAUUCACAGACAUACAUCCAAUUGCGAAUUAUGUCUUAAAGUCCUUAUAAAAUAACUUCAUCAAUAUUGACUGGAGAAAGCCCAAAACCUCCACAGUUAAAAAAAUGUACAAAGUCUAACACAUGCAAAUCAUCAUCAAAACAACUAGCUUUCUGGUAAAAUCCAGAUACAUUUCCAAACAUUCAACGGAAAAGCAAAUUCCUUUCAAUUAAUUACAAAAUCAAAACGAAAUGGCACCAAAUUGGAAUCAGAACAAACAAGCUCAACCCCAGGAACAAACACCACCACAACAACCACCAGACUCAAGUUUUUUAACUUCCAACGCAAAGCCCAUUCGAAUUCGGCACAAGUAAUAAUAGGUAUUCGAUAAUUUGAAAAUCUAAUCAAAAUUGGAAGCAACUGGACAUCAGAAUUUGUGACAGCAGUCUAUCACCUUUGCACUUGAACAGGAAGAGAGGGUUUACCUGAAACUCAAAGCAACUAGGAUUAGCGGGGUUGUGUCGAUAGGUAGAGUGUAGCUUAGAAUUGCCCGCGAAAGAGAAUUUACAGAGCUGAGGGCGAAAAGGCCGUCUUGUAAUCUCCCUCAG
rnacentral:misc_RNA from 1 species